rnacentral:rRNA from 1 species
AGAUUGAACGCUGGCGGCAGGCCUAACACAUGCAAGUCGAGCGGUAGAGAGGUGCUUGCAUCUCUUGAGAGCGGCGGACGGGUGAGUAAUGCCUAGGAAUCUGCCUAGCGGUGGGGGAUAACGUUCGGAAACGGACGCUAAUACCGCAUACGUCCUACGGGAGAAAGCGGGGGACCUUCGGGCCUCGCGCCAUUAGAUGAGCCUAGGUCGGAUUAGCUAGUUGG